UCAUCGUCAGCUCAUUUUGUAUAUGUACAANGUUAUGAUGUGAGUUACUCUNUGUAGUAUUGCUUGUACGUACUUGUGCAUUUAUUUGCAAGAUGUUGUCGGCGUG
rnacentral:rRNA from 1 species